rnacentral:rRNA from 1 species
GACGAACGCUGGCGGCGUGCUUAACACAUGCAAGUCGAACGGAAAGGCCCUGCUUUUGUGGGGUGCUCGAGCGGCGAACGGGUGAGUAACACGUGAGUAACCUGCCCUUGACUUUGGGAUAACUUCAGGAAACUGGGGCUAAUAUCGGAUAGGAGCUCCUGCUGCAUGGUGGGGGUUGGAAAGUUUCGGCGGUUGGGGAUGGACUCGCGGCUUAUCAGCUUGUUGGUGGGGUAGUGGCUUACCAAGGCUUUGACGGGUAGCCGGCCUGAGAGGGUGACCGGCCACAAUGGGACUAAGAUACGGACCAGACUCCUACGGGAGGCAGCAGUGGGGAAUAUUGCACAAUGGGCGGAAGCCUGAGGCAGCAACGCCGCGUGCGGGAUGACGGCCUUCGGGUUGUAAACCGCUGUCGCCUGUGACGAAGCGUGAGUGACGGUAAUGGGUAAAGAAGCACCGGCUAACUACGUG